rnacentral:rRNA from 1 species
CCUACGGGGGGCAGCAGUGGGGAAUAUUGGGCAAUGGGCGCAAGCCUGACCCAGCAACGCCGCGUGAAGGAAGAAGGCUUUCGGGUUGUAAACUUCUUUUUUUAGGGACGAAGCAAGUGACGGUACCUGAGGAAUAAGCCACGGCCAACUACGUGCCAGCAGCCGGGGUAAUACGUAGUCGGCAAGCUUCAUCAGGAUGUACUGGGUGUAAAGGGGGUGUAGGCGGGAAAGCAAGACAGAUGUGAAUACGAUGGGCUCAACCUGCGGACUGUAUUUGAAACUGUUAUCCUUGAGUGCGGUAGAGGUAGGUGGAAUUCCUAGUGUAGCGGUGAAAUGCGUAGAUAUUAGGAGGAACACCAAUGGCGAAGGCAGUCUGCUGGACAGCAACUGACACUGAGGCGCGAAAGCGUGGGGAGCAAACAGGAUUAGAUACCCGAGUAGUC